CCACCUCUCCCUGUGUCCUCACACAGCCUUUCCUCAGUGUGUGUGAGGACUGGGUCUCUUCCUCCUCUCCGGAGACACCAGUCCUAGCGGAGUAGGGCCCCGUGUCGUCGUUUAACGUUACUGACCUCCUUCAAGUCCCUGUUUCCAAAUACAGUCACAGUCAGGAGUUGGGGCUUCCACAGAGGAGUUUUGGAGAGACAAAGUACAGUCCAUGAUACCCUCAAGGCGUUCGUCAGCCCCUAACAGCCCUGGUGAACUACUAGCAGUACCUCUCAAAGCCCAACACACCCAGCAGCCUUGCUCCAGGGUGUAUGUGUUCCGGAAGAAGUGUGGGUGUGUGAUCAGGAGGCAUAUACAGAAACGUUUCUAGUAGCACUAUUAUAAUUGCCCCAACUUAGAAAGAACCCCUGCCCAUUGACCAUGGAGCAGAUCAAUUCUGGGAUGUUUGCACAGGAGGACAGUAUGUAGUGAUGAAAAGCCUCACAUAAUAUCCAUAGUCUCACAGCUGUUAUAGUGGGUGAAAAAACAAUUUAAAUACAAAGGAAUACACCCUGUAUCCGGUCCACUUAAGGUUUUUAAAAAAAAACAAAACUAAUCUACAACCUAAGAAGUCUUGAUAACAGUUCUUAUGCAGAGCUGGUGGCUGAUGACUGUGUAGUUUAGAAAGGGAGCUUCUAGAGUCCUGGGCAUAUUUUUUUGACCUAAGUUGAUUACAGGGGUGUGUUUACUUUACGAAAAUGCACUGAGCUAUAUACAUAGGACUUUUCACUUUCCUGAAUAUGUGUUAUACUUCAACAAAUAAGAUUUUUUUUAAAAAAGGAAUAUAGGUUUUAAACCUGUGUUUCAGUCUCUUAUAGCUUUGUCACCCCAAAUAUCAUAUAUGGUCUUUGCUUUAGUUUAUCCAUCUCCAAAAUGGGAAAAAUGACAGUACCCAGGAGGGGGUACCCCCAGGGCUCUUUCCAGGGUUAAAUAAUACAUCUAAAGGGCACAGCCCAGUGCCCAGCACACAAUGCGUGUGCACAAGGCCUGUUACUGUUUUCAUCCCUGAUGUCAUGCUCCUCACAGCGCUGCUAGGACUGGCCUUACCCUCUCCUUCUGCAUCAGGAAAGGGUUAGGAAAAGCAAACCCCAAGUUUCCUUUGGAAGAAGGGGUUUGGGAACCAGGGCCAAGUGCGGAGACCAGAGUUUUGCAAAAGCUCUUUGUGAACACUGGGACAGGCGGAAGGAGGGCGGUGGGAUUAGAGAACACGGCUUCCCUGGAACAACCAUUUACCGCCGACAUCAAAGCGAGGCCUGUCGUCGGGCGCGGGAGUCCCAGAAUAGCUUCACAAAAAGCCCGAAGAACCAGGUCUCAAAACGCUUCCAUCUGCGGAGAGGCAAGGCCAGGGGGAGGGGCCUGAUGGGGUGCCAUAGAAUGGGAUCGUUUUCAGCUGCUCCGGAGCAUCGGGGGCCCACACCUCGAUUCGCAGUAAUGAGUCGCAUGGAAGGAGCGCACAGGCCCGGCUGCCUCUCGCCAUCCGAGGGUAGAGCAGCCAGUUUCCGAGAGACCCGUAAAUAAUGCCUUUGUGAGACGGAGGCUCCGUCCGCAAAGUGACUGUAAAAGUCGCACCUCUUUACCGUCCAUAUUUACUCCAUAUGUGUCUUGAAAACAGUUUAUUUCAUUUGCUGACUAAAAGUUGGAUUUUUACUACAUCCGUCCCGCAGGCCCAAGGUUGGUGGGAAAUUGAUGUCAAGCCUUUAAAGAGUCUAUUUUAAGUGGGGGGGGGGAAGGGGUGGCACUCCAAAAGUAUAUGGUGUUUGUUUCUAAAGCCACGCUACCAAUGUGGAUUUCAGGAUCCAGAAGCAAUUAAGAGAUUUGCUUCAGCAAAUCAAAUUUAGUGUGACCAGGAUGCCAUGGCAGAAAGUCUCAGAACAACCUGAAACUCACAUUUUCGCUCAGGUCUACAAAUCUCAGCCUGUAAUCCAAGGAGUUAAAGUGUUUUCCAGGUCCAGGUAAUAGCUCUCAUUCCAUGCAUAAUAAAUUUUAAGUGUGGUUAACUCCAGAUCAUCCAUGUUAAUGAAGGCAAGGAGUGGUGUCAAUAAAUUAAAACAGGUGAUGGGCCCAGCAUCUUUGGUCUUGGAUGGUGGGAGGACGUUUAUAUUCACAUUUUUACUAUAAUUUGAGUGUUGGUUUGCUGUAUACUUUAAAUAGGGACUCCUAUGAACGCUGUAUUUGAAGAAACUGUGCCAUUUACAGUUAAGUAAUGAUGAGCGGGGGCAGGGUAGCCCUACUCAAAGUGUGGUCCCUGAGCCAGCCGCACCUGCAUCACCUGGGAACCUGAUAGAAAUCUGGAUGGAACCCAGCGAUCUAUGCUAUAAGCCCCCCAGGUGGUUCCAAGGCAGUAUGGAAGUUGAGACCCACUGUUGUAAGAUGCAUGAAGAGCAUUUGUCCGCUCCUCUCUUAGAGCCAGCCUUUGGAUUUUCAGGGGCGCCUUGGGAACUAGCUCCCCAGUUUCUUCUCUUCCUUGUGGCAUGAUUUCCUCUGGUGCACACCUCUCAUAGGCCUCCAGCCCCACCUUCCCAGCCCUCCCCGCCCCAGCCCUGCCCAGGGAGAGCCUGCACAGAGGAAAUGCUUCCUUAAAGGCCAGCUUUCUAUAGGAAAGCUCCCCUCCAGGAACCUAGGAUGCUGCUCUCAUUUAGCUGAGUGAUUUCUGUCUCUGCAGCCCUGAGGUGUCCACUUUCUCCUGCAGUGUCUUUCCACUCGGGACCAGAUCUGCCUGCCAGGUGGCCUGUCAAAGUGAAUCUGGAAAACCCCAGUUUCUCUCCCUACCCCUGCUGGUCAUUUCAGUCUGGCAUCCAGGUCCCUCCAGAUGCCACAGAGUCACCUCUCUGGAUGCAAAGCACAGAGUCAGCAGAGGUGCUCCGGGGGCUGUUCAGCUUCCUUGGGGUCUAAAGUUCUUUCGAGGUGCUGAGCCUGCAGGAGUGGGUGGGGGAACCUCAGAGCCACUUACCUUGCAGCCGAUGCCUGAGCACGAACUGGCAGUGGUGUUACCGACAAAGAGGGAGCCAGCAGAGCCACUGCGCCCUUUCAGUUCUGUGCAUGUGAACACAGCAGAGCCACCCCAUGCCCUGUGCUGGAGCUGGAGGCCCAGGUCUUCCCCUAAGAGAUGGAAUCUCAGUCUUCUCAUCUGUACCAUGGAGUAGAACCUGCCUGCCUGCCUCAUCCACCCUGCCCAGGCCUGUGCAGAGGGAAGAAUAGGUUUGUUGUGACCCGAUGGGUUAAUUCAGGUGAACGGUCCUGCCCGUUGUAAACACUCAGUAAAGGUUAGUUUUCCUCUCCCUGUAUCUGUAAACACCAAACUAGACUAGGUGACUGAUGUGUCAGCCGCAGCACUAUCAACUUUUAGAGCCAAAUAGUGCUUUUUGUGGGACGCUCUAGAAUGUCGAGCAGCAGGUCUGACCCGUACCCACUAGAUGCCCGUCACAUCCCCCUAGGCGUGACAAUCAAGAAUGUCCCCAGACAAUGCCUAUGAAAGUGGUUUAAAUUGCAAAGCAAAGAACAAUUUCAGACUAUGGUUAUACGGAUUUGUUCUCAGUAGACGGACAGCCCAUGUGUCUCCGGAUGAUCGAGUGACUCUCCUAACAAAUAACGUGCACCACAAAGCCCUUGCUUUUCUUUCACUGUGCCAGUUGUAAAUGGCAUCGAAUAAAACAUGUCACUCAUGUUGCUCAUUAAGUUAAUUAGGUUUCAUUCUCAUUGUAAAAUGUGCUUUUAUAUAUCUGAUGAUAAGGUUACAGAUACCAAAAUAUAAGAUUAGUUAUAAUCUCUCCAUUUUUAUUUACAUGUGCCCACAGCCUGACUUUUUAGAUCUCGCCUAUUGUUUUGUUUUUAUCGAGGACAUGUGCUGAUUUUCGCCUCUUACCUCAUCAAACCUCAGCUUUGAGUCUGCCUGCCAUGUAGCAAGGACUCUUCAGCCCCCAGUCCACCCCAAAGCCAAAGUCUUCCUUCCCUUCACAUAGUCCUGUGAGAGUAAUCCGUGUCAGAAGCCCUCCUAGCAAGCCACAGUCCGGCCUGCAUUUUUAAGACCACAGCACUGGGGCUGGGCCUCUAGAGCAGGAAUCUCAGCAGCAGCAACUGUCUUUCUGAGUUACUGGAAAAUUUCCUUCAUCGAUACUCUGGGUUUUGCAUGUCCCAAGUAGGUCUGUAAUCUGUCAGGACCUGAAAUAUAUCACCAGCAGUCCAGAAAAUGAAGCAGGAGGCGCUUAGUGAUUCAUCACCUGCUCUGCCUGCAGGAAGAGCUACCCUAAUUACCUUUCUCAAGGUCAGACGUUACAAAAAUCUAGGCAUAAAUAUUUGUAGAGAUGGAGACAGGCACGGUUCUGAUAACACAGAUGUUGUAGCACCUUUUUCUUUAAAGUCAGGGAUGCAAGUACACAUACACGUGCUAUCCUAUGUCUGGAUCCCCUUGGCAGCUCACCAGUUAACCCUGACAGUCAACCCUGCUUAACCUGAAUUCGGCCUCAGACAGCCAUCAUCCAUCAGCUGGGAGGCAGGGCCAUGCCAUGGUCAAGAGCAAGGACUGUAGUCAGACUGCCUGCUUCUAGUCCUGGCUCCGCCUACUAGCUAUAUGAUCUUGAGUAAAUUAUUUUGCCUCAGUUUCCUCAUCUGUAAAACCGAUGUACUAAUAAUUCAUGUGACACAUAACGCGUGCUUGGCAAAUAUCAACGUUCAUGACUGACUGAAGCAACUUCCUUAUGGACCCUAUUUGCUAUUCUUGCAUGAUAAUGUUUCUUCUCUUUCUGAAUGAAGUCCAAGUCAGCUGUGUUGAUUUGUUACAUUUGAGAGGCAGCCUAUCAGGCUGGAUCUUGGUUGGAGUGGUUGAAAUGUGCCUCUCGCUUUUAUUCAAACGUUCCCAAAUGCGUGCCUCGGUUAACAGUGGAGUUUGGGGAGUUCCCAUCUUGGCUCGGUGGUUAACGAAUCAGACUAGGAACCAUGAGGUUGUGGGUUCGAUCCCUGGCCUCGCUCAGUGGGUUAAGGAUCCAGCGUUGCCAUGAGCUGUGGUGUAGGUUGCAGAUGCGGCUCAGAUCCCACAUUGCUGUGGCUGUGGUGUAGGCCGGUGGCUACAGCUCUGAUUAGACCCCUAGCCUGGGAACCUC
rnacentral:lncRNA from 1 species